GAUGAACGCUGGCGGCGUGCCUAAUACAUGCAAGUCGAGCGAACAGACGAGGAGCUUGCUCCUCUGACGUUAGCGGCGGACGGGUGAGUAACACGUGGAUAACCUACCUAUAAGACUGGGAUAACUUCGGGAAACCGGAGCUAAUACCGGAUAAUAUAUUGAACCGCAUGGUUCAAUAGUGAAAGACGGUUUUGCUGUCACUUAUAGAUGGAUCCGCGCCGCAUUAGCUAGUUGGUAAGGUAACGGCUUACCAAGGCAACGAUGCGUAGCCGACCUGAGAGGGUGAUCGGCCACACUGGAACUGAGACACGGUCCAGACUCCUACGGGAGGCAGCAGUAGGGAAUCUUCCGCAAUGGGCGAAAGCUUGACGGAGCAACGCCCGUGAGUGAUGAAGGUCUUCGGAUCGUAAAACUCUGUUAUUAGGGAAGAACAAAUGUGUAAGUAACUAUGCACGUCUUGACGGUACCUAAUCAGAAAGCCACGGCUAACUACGUG
rnacentral:rRNA from 1 species